CCGGCGACGCGCGGGAUGCGAGCGGGACGGGCGCCGGCAAUGGCAAUGGGGGAAGGCGGCGGCCGGCGGGCGGCAGAACCGGAGCGCUUGGCUCUGGAGCUGGGGCGGGAGAGGCGGAAGCAGCAGAUGCUUGAAAGCUCAAUAUUUGAACUGAGAAACACUGUAACAGAACUGGAAAAAAGUCUUAACAGUGUUGAAAAUGAAGAUAAUGAAUGGAAAACCAGAUAUGAGACACAGGUAGAAUUGAAUAAACAGCUGGAAAGGCAAAUUAAUAUUCUUCAAGAUAAGGUGGAGCUUAUUCGUGGAAAUCCAGCAGAUAAACUGUCCCUUGUUCGCAUCUUUGAUAAAAUGCCUGUGGGUUCCUUAAAGGACGUUCUUAAACAACUAGAAGAAGAGAAGAAGAGUCUCCAGAACCAGCUAAAGGACUAUGAACUUAGACUGGAACAAGAAGCAAAGGCUUACCACAAAGUUAAUGAUGAGCGGCGCUUGUACCUCUCAGAGAUCUUACAGACCUCAGCUAAACCUACAAUUUUUGAAAGGAAAAAAACAGAUGCUCUGACUGGCAAGGGAGAAAAACAGAUACUGAGAAUCACAGGAUUUCGUAAACUGGAAUAGUGAAUCUUUGUGUUCCAGGAGAGUAUAUUAGUAGAAUAUGAAAUAAUGCAGUACAAUAUUAAUUCAGUUCUAUAACUGAAGUUUAUCAGUACAUAAAAAGCAAUGUGUGGGUUUGAAGUGCCCCAUAUGCCACUGUAUCACUUUUGACCCCAGUGAUAUUUAACAUGGUUCCUAUGAAGAGGGUCAGAAAGCUAGAACCAGGAGGAUUCACUGCCCCUGCAGUGAGAUUAAAUAUCAUCAGCCAGAUACGGAGGUUUGCUGAGGGUUAGCACUGAUCUGUGAUUAUGGUGGGUUUUUUUACAAUCUAUUUUAGUAGACCAUCACUUACUCUGCAAUUAUAUGACAGUGUGUUUCUGUAAUUUUCUAUAUAUCAAACAAAAGAAAAUAGUGUCCUGUAACUGCUGGUCUCAGAAGAUCUGUGGUAUAACAAAAUAUCCCGUCUCAAUCCAUUUUCCCUAAGAGGACUUUUUUUUAACUUUUCAAUGUUCUUUAAACACAUGAAGAUAAUUUUUCAGCUUUUAAAUUGUCCUUAGUAUAUAAGAACCUAGUUUUCAGAUUAUUGACUUUUAUAGUUAGUGACUUAGAACUUUCAGGACAAACUUCGAUCUUUGCUGGCAACAUGGAUCUAAGAGUGGAGUUUUGGCAUAAUUUGUAUUUUAAGAAAAUACUAGAAUAUAAGUAUGCACCUCAUGAACAUCACAAGGUAACUAUAGCCAUUGUUAUAUUAUUCCUUUUAAAUUAUGUUUUGAUUUCUAGCCUGGGGUUUGUUUGUUCAAGCUGAUAUUAAUGAGAAAUAAUUUCAUUAAAAUAAGAGAAGACAUGCAUGUUCUUGAGAGUAAUUUGAAAAUUUUCUGUCUAGAGUUCUUAUCUCACCUUUGUUGCCCUUUUACAAAAUACCUGCAUUGGAAUUCAAACCAUACUAAGAAACUGCGUAAUGCUUGUUUUAAUUAUAGGAACAUGUACAGAAAGCCCAGCUUGUGUACUAAACGAACACUAAAAACAUUUUUGGGUAGUAGUUGUGACCACUAAUGUGGAUUCUUUGGGGUUUUUUUGCUGAGGUUGGGAUUAAAUGUGUGAGAUGGUACAGAGAUCAGUGCCUGUCAGAACAGAGAGUCUAAAAUUCUCAGUAACCAGAGUUCCAACAACUAAUUAUUGAUGCAUUCAAUUUCCUGGCCAUCCAAAACAGAAGCAAGUUCAGCAGAGGUCCUUUUUGUGAUUAUCACAGGAGAAGAAGAUAGGCUAGCUGACAGCUGGGAAGAACAUGGAUGUCUUGACGGCUCAUAUUUCUGAUGCAAUUUGAGCAGUAAAUUUAUUGUCACUCUGACCCCUGCUGUUACACUGAGACUUAUGGUGGGGCAGUUUCAACACUGCACUGCUGCAGUUACCUGGUUUCUAAGUCUGUAAGUCUAGCUGGUUUUGAGGGGAAGAGGUUUUGUUGCCUGCAGAAUUCCACACAGGCAUUUUCUGCUCUGUUCAGCUGUACAGUGAUCUACAGUUUAAUCAAUUGAUUUUAAGUAAUCAACUGAUUUGAAUUUUAAUAAUUGAUUAUCAAGUACACUGGAGGCUUGGAUUGUGAUCUUCCAACUCUGAGUAGAAGUAUCUCCAUAUCUGUAUGGGCACAGUUCUCCCUCCCUCAAGACUGCUUGUAAGAGCUGGAACAAAUGAUGCGUCAUUCCCCAAAAGACUAGUGAGCCCUAGGUUUGACUUUGUUGCCUCUUUCCCCACAAAUUUGAAACUUGCACAGAUACCAUCAUUGUAGCUUCUAUCACAUAUCUGGGUAUCAUGACAAAUAUAACAGUGCGAUGUUGUGAUAUAUUUUCCAAAGUCAUCCUAUAUAAUGCCUUUGCUUGAGAAAGGCACUGGAGCUCUGUAUAUUGUUGUUAGAGUAUGUAAAGUGCUGUCUUUCCUCUGCAGUAAUGAACAGGAAGAGAAGCAAAGGGACAUUGCAUAGGAGCAGAGAGGCAGGCUUCUUGGUCAGGAGAAUGACCUUUCCAGCUUGCAGAAGUGCCAUGCUUUUCCUGGAGAUUUCUUUACAUUCCCACAGAUUUCAUAGAAGAUGAAGAUGAAGCUCUAGCUGGUUUCAUAGGAAGACACAGUGUUCCAGGAAACCCGAAGAUGGUUAAUCCUCAAAAACGAUCAAUUAAAAAGACUGUAGGAGUGAACCAGCUUCCACAGCUAAAGCACUGAUUUAACAGUAAUGCCAAGAACUUCCAGUCACUUUUUAAAAAAUUUAAUUUGACUGAAAGCUUCUAAAUUGAAAAUGAAAGUAUUUGUGCCUUAUUGCAAUACCAGAUCCAGAUUGGAAUGUCUUCUUGGCUGCCUUAAUAUAAGUGUUCCUGUCUAAUUGAAUUGCUCUUCUAGCUGCCAUCUUUGUACUGGUGACUUCUGACCCUUUCCAUUCUACUUCACAUCGGUGAUUCUGAGUGUGAGGGUGUUGGAAAACUUGGAGAAUAUUGAAUGUCUUAUACACUGUGUAGAUCCUUGAACUAUGCUGCCAUGGAAAACAAACAAGCCUCUAGCAUUUUUGACCUCUCAAUCCAAGAAGAAGGCAGACUGAUGUAACCUGAAGUAUUGUCUAAAUAUAACUUUUUUUAAAAGCCAUCUUACCACAGCUCUCAUGUUGACUACCACUUUCUGUCUGCAUGGUUUAGAAGCACAGCACCAUUUCCAGCUGCUUUAGGCACUACUAAUGGACAGAAAUAACAGAAAAACUAAGCACUUUUUAUUAAGGAAUCUUCAGAGCCUAUCUUGUGGAAUGUUGUUUCUCUUAAACACUAUCUAUGUUCUAUAAAGAAACACAUAUCCUGAUAUUAGUAUGUUGCUCUUUGAAAUUUGAAUUAUCAGAUGAACCCUUGUAUCCACAGUGUUGAGGUUCUAAAAAUCUGUCUUCUUCAGUGGCAUUGAUCCUUGUGCUUUUAGGGUCCAAAAUAGUGCCAGUCCUAAAAGUCAUCUCUUCAGUGAAAGUAGAACUAUUUUGUCUCUUCAUUCUUAAGCAUGCAAUUAAUGUUGCAGUUUUAUUACCUACAUUUUAGUCAUUAAAUUUGGCAAAAUCUUUUCAAGUGGCAACAGGAAAAAUGUUUUCAUAAUGAAGCUUCAGUCCUCUGGGUUACAUCUUAAAAGCUCUUGGCAGAGCAAAUGUGGCUGCUUGACUGCCCUUUAUUAUUUUAAGAGCAUUCCUAACUCUGCAAUAAAGUUUUUUCCCCUCUUUAAGAGCAGUACUAAGAGUUCCUUAUUACUGGCAGCAUUAAAGUGACACUGUAAUUAAGCUUACAGCAAAAGACAAACCAAUGGUGUCAUUCUAAAAUGCAGAGAGCUAAGGCCUCCAGCAUGGUACAGCAUAUUCAGUAUGGAAAUCCUUUUUUUUUUUUUUCCUCUUUCAUAGUAUUAAAUUCAUUACAGAUAUUUGGCAUGUUACCAUGAUGCACAUGGUAUCAUUCUUUCAUAAGCAGGGUGAUCUGCCUGGCUGUUUUUUUCCCUUACAGCAUAGCACAGCUGGUUAGGUUAGCACUCUUCUGUUUGUGUUUUUCACCUGAAAAAUUUUCAAAUGUUCAUUGUGCUGGCAUUUGUGGUGAAGGAGAGGGGAAAAUCAUCAUAAUGGCUCUAUUGGCAUAAAAGACAAGGGACAUCUGCAGUAGUAAAGAAGAUCCAGUUCUUGGAUUCACGCAGCAAACAUUUCCUACUGCUGUCUCUUAAUCAAAUGUUAGUGCACUCAAGUCUGGUCUGUGCAGCACCUCAGAAUAACUGGAAAAAAUGCACAAAUAUGGCAGAACAUUUUUUCACAACAGGAGACUUGAUGCUUCCCUCAAGGAUAUUCCUCACUGAGGACUUGAACAGAGACUUUUUUUGAAGCCUUAAAAGAGGUAUUUGUUGGUACAGGAAUGACGGGAGACAAGCAGACUAUGUCCUAUUUAGUCCCUGUUUCACCUUGCCAAGAACAAUUUGAUUUGAUUUGGGAUUCAAAAUGAAGUAGUAUGACAAUGAAUUGCUAAAAUGUGCUGUUUGACCAUUCCAAUUGUAUGUCCAGCUGUAAUCUUUGUUGUGAAAAAUGGUUAUAGUUCAGUACUCAUACUCUUUUAAUUGGCAUUUCAUUUUCUUCCUAAUUUUCUGAAAAUGAGGACGAACCUGAUAGCUAAAUUUGACAACUCCAAUUUCUUUGCAACAGCAAAAAGAGAGUUUUUGGUUUCAAAAGUGGAGGUCUCUUUGGAUCUAAAUAAAACUUUUACACUUCUAGCUUUCCCAAAACAUGCAGGAAUUUUUUGUUUCAUUUGGUGGGGUUAGGUGAAUGAGUGUUUUGAAAUUCCUGGAUUUAUCUUGUGUGGGCUUUUCUUACUAUUUUGUUGUCCUGUGAAAUGUGUUUUUUUGACAUUUGCAGCAAUGAACAGUUAGAUGGCUUUAUGUAACAUAUUCAACAUGAAUAUUUCAGCACAUUUAAGAUUAAUUAAUUCUUCAAAUACCUCAUAGUAUGCAGUAUUAUUUUAGGUCUAGAAGACAGAAUCAGGUUUAUUUAAAAUAGAUAUGGGAGUGUAGUGGUGUCUGGUUUUCCCCUGAUUUCACAAUAGGGUGAUUUUUUGUAAUGCUGCCAACCAUUUCAAGAUAAAGUCGUCCUCCUCUUAAGUUUCUGUACAUCAUACAUGACACUGAAGGAGUCUGAAAUCAAAAAUGGGAAACUGAAUUGCUGACAGUUGUGGUCAGUGAUUGAAUGGAGCUAAAUAUCAGAGGAAGACAGGAUCAGAGGUGAAGGUUUGAGUCUAGCCAAACUUCUUCCUUCAGUGUAGAAUAUACUUGAGAUUCCAGAUAUACUGAUUGUAGUGUGUAAGUGGCUUUAAUUGAUGGACUGGGAAAUUUGAUAUCCUAACUUGGCGCUUGAGAGUGUGCUGCCUUUACAUGGUUACUCAUGUAAUUCCAUUAAUUUCAGAUGAGUCAUGAUUUUGAUGUAACUAAGGCAUUUUAAGUAUUUACCCAUAGUGUUUCUGGAAUAUAUGAAUUUAAAAUCACAAAUGCUGGUAAGCACACAUAUCUUAUUUCCAAAAAAAAAACCCUUUAUUUUUUUGUUUCAGAGUCUCAUGAUUGAGGAUGGUAUUGAGUCAUGAUAGUUGUUUUUAAUUAAUCCAUUUAGCAGCAGUGUGCUCUAGAACAGCAUAGAAUGAUGGAAUAAAAUGAAAAUGUUUAUUGGACAGGCAUUGACUGCGUGGCUGAUUAUUAUUUAAUUUUGCAGCAUAACCACAGGCUGCGGAGGACUGGGGUGAUAGGCUUCCUCAUGUUCAGGAUAUCAUUAAUAAUAAGCAAGAUAUUUUGUUGCUUAAAUACUUUGUUUAAUGGGUUCUCUGUAUUUAAACUGACUAAGUGGUACAGAUGACAGUUUCCCUCAUUCCAAUGAUAUUCUACCUCUACUGGUAAAGAUGAAGUGCAUAGUUCAGCCUUAAUACAUUUCCAGUAGAGGAGGAUGCUGUGCAGGCCUUUUUACAAAUGUGAUGCAGACACAGUAGCAAGCAAAUAAAUAAAUAAGGAAGUGAACUUUUGUGUUAUUAAGCUUCUGCUGUUUUUGCCAGACUGGUUUCAAACAUGACAUGUACUUUGAACCAACUAGUUGGAUGCAGAUAUAAUGUGCAUGGACUAAAAUUAUAGCUAACUGCUACAGUUUUAUCAUUUUACACACAGGUGUCACACUAAUGGCAGACAGCUCUUGACUGGAUAAUGAGGCUUUUCAAAGGUGGCAGCACCUUAUUUACUUGGCAGAUGAGUUAAACCCUCUCUUCCAGAAAUACAAACACUGGAUUUAGUUCCUUAUAGGUUACAUCUUAGAAUCCAAUUUUCCUGCACUUCACUAAUCUGUGCCCUAAACUGCCAGCUAAGAACCAUGUAGAGAUCAAAUGAGUCUCUCAUGUCUACAGGAGUAGCAUGCAGGUGGGGCCAGGCUUUGCCUGUGGUUCUGGGAGCAACUCAAUGCACCACCCUACAGAAAGGGCUCUCACAGGCUCCAUUUCUAGGCUGCUAAAGUUCCUAUGCUCUGGUUCCUGUGUAACUUCUCACCCCUCCCUUUGUUGUCUGGGAGAAGAUGAAUUCUGCUUCAGGAUCCCAUCUGUAAUUUGGGGAGAACAUAUGUUUCUGGUGCUGAAAAGUGACACAAAGAUACAUACACUGGUGCUGGAGGGAAGCCAGCUGGUAAAACCACAAUGAAUCUGAGUAAGUCUGGCCUAAAUAAAAUGGGUUUUCUUCUGUCUUGCAAUGAAGAUGGAUAAUACUGGUGCUCUGUUGGUGCAGAAACAGCUGUGGCUGCUGCACCUUAGUGAACAGAUUUACCAGUAAAGAAUGAUGUCAGGGUAUUUCCUGACAAACACAACCCAGUGUGACACAGCAGUGACACCAGUUGCUGUGCAUGUCUUGUCACAGGGAAAAAUGUCAGCUCUGUAAAGAGAAGGAGCCCAUGUGAGAUCCAGGACAGGCCUGACUCCCACACCACCCUACCGCAGGCGCUUCCCCUUCAUCUGUCUGAUCCCUCCACACAAUGAGCAAGUGUCCUGUGUGGAAUCUGCUCAGGAAUGGUGUGGUGUAACAGAGCAAUGCAGACUAGGGACCAGAAAAAUUUGGCACAGCUGAAGGGUUAUUUUGGGGGAAGGAUGAAGCAACAAAGCUGUGCACUCUUGACUCAUCCUAUGCUGAUUAGGAAUAGGAUACUGAGAAAUCUUUUAAAAAGAUGAAAAGAAGGAAAAUUAGCAUGGGAGUCAUCUGUCCCAGUUUGCAGCUUAAAAGUCAUACAUCUAAGUCUGAGCUAAUCACUGUAUACUCAAUGAGUAGUCAAUGGGAAAAAAAAAAAAGCAAACUAAAA